GACGAACGCUGGCGGCGUGCUUAACACAUGCAAGUCGAACGGAAAGGCCCUGCUUUUGUGGGGUGCUCGAGUGGCGAACGGGUGAGUAACACGUGAGUAACCUGCCCUUGACGUUGGGAUAACUUCAGGAAACUGGGGCUAAUACCGGAUAUGAGCUCCUGCUGCAGGGUGGGGGUGGGAAAGUUUCGGCGGUUGGGGAUGGACUCGCGGCUUAUCAGCUUGUUGGUGGGGUAGUGGCUUACCAAGGCUUUGACGGGUAGCCGGCCUGAGAGGGUGACCGGCCACAAUGGGACUGAGAUACGGCCCAGACUCCUACGGGAGGCAGCAGUGGGGAAUAUUGCACAAUGGGCGGAAGCCUGAUGCAGCAACGCCGCGUGCGGGAUGACGGCCUUCGGGUUGUAAACCGCUUUCGCCUGUGACGAAGCGUGAGUGACGGUAAUGGGUAAAGAAGCACCGGCUAACUACGUG
rnacentral:rRNA from 1 species